rnacentral:rRNA from 1 species
GGAAGGUGGAACUGCGGGGAGGGACAUUA